GGAUUGGGAUAUAUUGGUCGUGCUUUUAGGGGCAUGAAUCGGUGUGUAGCCAAUUUCUUACCUUCUGGUGAAUUGGGAUGCUUCUUUAUUGGGUGUUUCAAUGAACUAGGACCUUUACUUUGAAAAAAUUAGAGUGUUUAAAGCGGGCAUUUUUGCUUGAAUACAUUAGCAUGGAAUAAUAAAAUAGGACGGUGUUCUAUUUUGUUGGUUUUAGGACCACGUA
rnacentral:rRNA from 1 species